CACCACCUCCCCUUGCACCACCUCCAUGAGCAACCGCCUGAGAAACGGUGAUCGCACAUGCACUGUUUCUUCUGCCAAUCUGAAAAUUUGUGUCACAAAAAUAUGAGCAUAUAAUGAGAGAAAAAUUGGUGUACUGACCUGUUGGCAAGAUUUCUUGCAGAGAAGAUGCUAUUAUGGCCAUGGCAGAACAAAACAGUAUAUAAAUGCCUUGGCUGUUCUGCACUGCUCCCUGAUGUCAGUGGACUUCACUAAACAUGACUACGGCAUGUCAAAUGCUUAACAGGAGCUUUCAACAUUGUCGACAAAGGUAUGUUUCAAUUCCUUCUCCACCACUGUUCUUACUCAAAUUAAUGUUAAAUUAUCGGCCGUCCAUACUUUUGAUUCUUUUUAAAGUUAUCUCACUAUGAAAAACAUGAAAGAUAGCGUGGUUUAGUGGUU